GCACAAGAUGCUCAAAAACGCAAAAACAAAAAGGAAGCAAGGGAAACAAAGAUGCCAUCUUUGGAUGUCUGG
rnacentral:ribozyme from 12 species